rnacentral:rRNA from 1 species
GACGAACGCUGGCGGCGUGCUUAACACAUGCAAGUCGUACGGUAAGGCCCUUUCGGGGGUACACGAGUGGCGAACGGGUGAGUAACACGUGAGUAACCUGCCCACAACUUUGGGAUAACGCUAGGAAACUGGUGCUAAUACUGGAUAUGUGCUCCUGCUGCAUGGUGGGGGUUGGAAAGCUCCGGCGGUUGUGGAUGGACUCGCGGCCUAUCAGCUUGUUGGUGGGGUAGUGGCCUACCAAGGCGGCGACGGGUAGCCGGCCUGAGAGGGUGACCGGCCAAAUUGGGACGGAGAUACGGCCCAGCCUCCUACGGGGGGCAGCAGUGGGGAAUAUUGCACAAGGGGCGCAAGCCUGAUGCAGCAACGCCGCGGGCGGGAUGACGGCCUUCGGGUUGUAAACCGCUUUCAGCGGGGACGAAGCUUUUUGGGACGGUACCGGCAGAAGAAGCACCGGCUAACUACGU